rnacentral:rRNA from 1 species
CCUACGGGGGCUGCAGUGAGGAAUACUGGUCAAUGGACGAGAGUCUGAACCAGCCAAGUAGCGUGAAGGAUGACUGCCCUAUGGGUUGUAAACUUCUUUUAUAAAGGAAUAAAACGAGGCACGUGUGCCUCUUUGCAUGUACUUUAGUAAUCAGGAUCGGCUAACUCCGUGCAAGCAGCCGCGGUAAUACGGAGGAUCCGAGCGUUAUCCGGAUUUAUUGGGUUUAAAGGGACCGUCUAUGGGUUGUUCAGUCCGUUGUGAAAGUUUGCGGCUCAACCGUAAAAUUGCAAUUGAUACUGGCAGUCUGGCGUACAGUUGAGGUAGGCGGAAUUCGUGGUGUAGCGGUGAAAUGCUUAGAUAUCACGAAGAACCCCGAUUGCGAAGGCAGCUUACUAAACUGUGACUGACAUUGAUGCUCGAAAGUGUGGGUAUCAAACAGGAUUAGAUACCCGGGUAGUC